AGAGGGAGGUUACGCGUGUUACGUGUGUGUAUGUAAUGUUAUACAUUUGUUAUGUGUGUCAGAAAGAAUGGUUGGAUGUGAGAAGCAAGAAAGAAGAGAGAGAAAGAGAGAAAAAAAAAGAGAGAGAGAAAGAGAAAAAAAGUGAAAGAGA